GACGAACGCUGGCGGCGUGCCUAAUACAUGCAGGUUGAGCGCUGAAGGUUGGUACUUGUACCAACUGGAUGAGCAGCGAACGGGUGAGUAACGCGUGGGGAAUCUGCCUUUGAGCGGGGGACAACAUUUGGAAACGAAUGCUAAUACCGCAUAAAAACUUUAAACACAAGUUUUAAGUUUGAAAGAUGCAAUUGCAUCACUCAAAGAUGAUCCCGCGUUGUAUUAGCUAGUUGGUGAGGUAAAGGCUCACCAAGGCGAUGAUACAUAGCCGACCUGAGAGGGUGAUCGGCCACAUUGGGACUGAGACACGGCCCAAACUCCUACGGGAGGCAGCAGUAGGGAAGCUUCGGCAAUGGACGAAAGUCUGACCGAGCAACGCCGCGUGAGUGAAGAAGGUUUUCGGAUCGUAAAACUCUGUUGGUAGAGAAGAACGUUGGUGAGAGUGGAAAGCUCAUCAAGUGACGGUAACUACCCAGAAAGGGACGGCUAACUACGUG
rnacentral:rRNA from 1 species